UACGUAGGGUGCAAGCGUUGUCCGGAAUUAUUGGGCGUAAAGAGCUCGUAGGCGGUGUGUCGCGUCGGCCGUGAAAACCUGCAGCUUAACUGUGGGCUUGCGGUCGAUACGGGCAUCACUGGAGUUCGGCAGGGGAGACUGGAAUUCCUGGUGUAGCGGUGAAAUGCGCAGAUAUCAGGAGGACACCGGUGGCGAAGGCGGGAUCUCUGGGCCGAUACUGACGCUGAGGCGCGAAAGCAUGGGGAGCGAACAGG
rnacentral:rRNA from 1 species